rnacentral:piRNA from 1 species
UAAUAGGAUACACUGGAAACUUAAGAAGUG